CUCCUGUCUGUGCCAGGAGCAGCUCCGGCAUUGCCGACCUCUGCGCUUCCUCAUCGUCAAUUGAAACAAAGCCAUCUAAAAUAUUCUCAUCAGGCCAUAGGAUGGACCGAAGUGUCGAAGCUGGUGAUCUCUUGUCUUCCCAGUCUACAGACUUCACCCAAGACAGAGUGAAUGGGCAGUCUCACAGCGAGUUUUCUUCAGCCUUUACCAGCAAACCUAAGAUCCCUCGCACUCCUGAAACGCACAGUGCCAGCCCCAGAAAGGGAAAGAUCCCAACCAUUGCCCCCCAGUUCUCUCAGUCUGGACCCCAACAAAUGAGCCGUCCCAGCUCCUCGGGAUCAUCCACAAGGAGCAGACAGAGU
rnacentral:lncRNA from 1 species